GAUCCUGGCUCAGAUUGAACGCUGGCGGCAGGCUUAACACAUGCAAGUCGAGGGGCAGCAUGGUCUUAGCUUGCUAAGGCCGAUGGCGACCGGCGCACGGGUGAGUAACACGUAUCCAACCUGCCGUCUACUCUUGGCCAGCCUUCUGAAAGGAAGAUUAAUCCAGGAUGGGAUCAUGAGUUCACAUGUCCGCAUGAUUAAAGGUAUUUUCCGGUAGACGAUGGGG
rnacentral:rRNA from 1 species